GCCCGGGUGAUGGAAUGGCAGACAUGCAAGACUUAAAAUCUUGUGAGAGUAAUCUCGUGUGGGUUCGAAUCCCACCCCGGGCA
rnacentral:tRNA from 1 species